UAUAUAUUUUUGUCUUUGUUCACAAUUCAAUUAUGUCAUUUGUUCUUCGUUUUCUUAACAUUCUUUAUUACGCUAAAAAUUUUAAUUGUACCGAUUACCCUGAAGACAUUGACCUUCAAGGAUCCCCAAAAUUCUGAGAUCUAAUAGCAAUUUCCAGACAUGGAGCCUAAGCUAUUCAAGAUGAUUCAGUUCAAAAUGGGAGGAAAUCAGAAUAUGCUGCCUCUAGAAAACUAUGCCAGGGAAUUAAAACUUAAAACAUGAGGUUUUCCCAGCCAACCAUCUUUCCCAGGUUUGUAGAAUAUCUAUUGUCCAAAGCUUGAAGAUACAAUAGUUGUUUGAGGCCAGUCAUUUUUCCCAGGUUUGUAGAAUAUUUGUUUUCGUGGUGGAAUUGAGUGAAUUCGAAUAUUUAAUUUUGCAUAUUUUACGUGAGUUUUGCUGGGAUGGUAUGGUUAAUAUUGGAUUUUAAUAGUUUGUCAAGAUGAGUGUGCAGUUUUGGGAUUUUAAUAGCAUUUUGACUUGAUAAUUUUGAUAUCUUUGGUUGGACAGGAGCACCAUGGCAAUCUCAAUGAAAGCUGUAAAUGCACAUUUCAUUGAGAGGAUAGGAACAUGUCAGUAAUUCGGUAUGUCAUUCUAAAUGUUCCCUUUUUCAUCUUUAUAUAUAAAGGAAAGGUUUUCCCCU